rnacentral:rRNA from 1 species
GACGAACGCUGGCGGCGUGCUUAACACAUGCAAGUCGAACGGAAAGGCCCUGCUUUUGUUGGUUGCUCGAUUGGCGAACGGGGGAGUAACACGUGAGUAACAUGUCCUUGUCUUUGUGAUAACUUCAGGAAACUGGGGCUAAUACCCGAUAUGAGCUCCUGCUGCAUGUGGUGGGUUGGAAAAUUUCGGCUGUUGUGGAUGGACUCGCGGCUUAUCAGCUUGUUUGUGGGGUAGUGGCUUACCAAGGUUUUGACGGGUAGCCGGCCUGAGAGGGUGACCGGCGACAUUGGGACUGCGAUACGGAGCAGAAUCCAACGGGAGGCAGCAGUGGGGAAUAUUGCACAAUGGGCGGAAGCCUGAUGCAGAGACGCCGCGUGCGGGAUGACGGCCUACGAGUUGUAAACCGAUUUCGCCUGUGACGAAGCGUGAGUGACGGUAAUGGGUAAAGAAGCAACGGCUAACUACGUG